rnacentral:rRNA from 1 species
CCUAACACAUGCAAGUCGAACGGUAACAGGAAGCAGCUUGCUGCUUUGCUGACGAGUGGCGGACGGGUGAGUAAUGUCUGGGAAACUGCCUGAUGGAGGGGGAUAACUACUGGAAACGGUGGCUAAUACCGCAUAACGUCGCAAGACCAAAGAGGGGGACCUUCGGGCCUCUUGCCAUCAGAUGUGCCCAGAUGGGAUUAGCUUGUUGGUGAGGUAACGGCUCACCAAGGCGACGAUCCCUAGCUGGUCUGAGAGGAUGACCAGCCACACUGGAACUGAGACACGGUCCAGACUCCUACGGGAGGCAGCAGUGGGGAAUAUUGCACAAUGGGCGCAAGCCUGAUGCAGCCAUGCCGCGUGUAUGAAGAAGGCCUUCGGGUUGUAAAGUACUUUCAGCGGGGAGGAAGGUGUUGUGGUUAAUAACCGCAGCAAUUGACGUUACCCGCAGAAGAAGCACCGGCUAACUCCGUGCCAGCAGCCGCGGUAAUACGGAGGGUGCAAGCGUUAAUCGGAAUUACUGGGCGUAAAGCGCACGCAGGCGGUCUGUCAAGUCGGAUGUGAAAUCCCCGGGCUCAACCUGGGAACUGCAUUCGAAACUGGCAGGCUUGAGUCUUGUAGAGGGGGGUAGAAUUCCAGGUGUAGCGGUGAAAUGCGUAGAGAUCUGGAGGAAUACCGGUGGCGAAGGCGGCCCCCUGGACAAAGACUGACGCUCAGGUGCGAAAGCGUGGGGAGCAAACAGGAUUAGAUACCCUGGUAGUCCACGCCGUAAACGAUGUCUACUUGGAGGUUGUGCCCUUGAGGCGUGGCUUCCGGAGCUAACGCGUUAAGUAGACCGCCUGGGGAGUACGGCCGCAAGGUUAAAACUCAAAUGAAUUGACGGGGGCCCGCACAAGCGGUGGAGCAUGUGGUUUAAUUCGAUGCAACGCGAAGAACCUUACCUGGUCUUGACAUCCACAGAACUUUCCAGAGAUGGAUUGGUGCCUUCGGGAACUGUGAGACAGGUGCUGCAUGGCUGUCGUCAGCUCGUGUUGUGAAAUGUUGGGUUAAGUCCCGCAACGAGCGCAACCCUUAUCCUUUGUUGCCAGCGGUCCGGCCGGGAACUCAAAGGAGACUGCCAGUGAUAAACUGGAGGAAGGUGGGGAUGACGUCAAGUCAUCAUGGCCCUUACGACCAGGGCUACACACGUGCUACAAUGGCGCAUACAAAGAGAAGCGACCUCGCGAGAGCAAGCGGACCUCAUAAAGUGCGUCGUAGUCCGGAUUGGAGUCUGCAACUCGACUCCAUGAAGUCGGAAUCGCUAGUAAUCGUGGAUCAGAAUGCCACGGUGAAUACGUUCCCGGGCCUUGUACACACCGCCCGUCACACCAUGGGAGUGGGUUGCAAAAGAAGUAGGUAGCUUAACCUUCGGGAGGGCGCUUACCACUUUGUGAUUCAUGACUGGGGUGAAGUCGUAACAAGGUAACCGUAGGGGAACCUGCGGUUGGAUCACCUCCUUACCUUAAAGAA